GAAGCAUCUGUAUGCAGGGGGUGAUUUGUACAUUGGCGGAAUGGAUGCCCCUAAUGCUUCCGAGUGUUGGCCUUGGCCCUGGCUCUGGUUUACUGUGUUCUCCCGCUCAGAAAGCUCUGCCCUGACCACAAAGAUACGUUCUUGCUCCCUUUCAGCUGUUCCGUGACCCCUGGAAGUCGGUGAUUCCACCAAAAAUAGCGGGCUGGUUAUUGGACAGUACAUAGAGGCUCCAGUGUAGACAUCUCAGCCCAGUGGUGAAAGCCUGUGUUAGUCUUAGCCCAGCCAUGUGCGACCUUCGCUGAAAAUGCAGAGCCAUGGGGAGACCUACAGCCGGACGCUGUGUGCAGCAAACCAUCCCCACUGUGAGACGCUAUGCAUCGAAUUCAAGACAUUACUUCAUUUUCAUGCACAGAAAGGUGAACUAUUUUCAGUCCAACGCCAGGAGGUUAUUUUUCCUCGUGACUCCCUCC